CAGAACUGGAAAAGAUUACUCUAUAAUUAGAAAUGUGCAGUGGAUUUUAAAACAUAACAAAGAACGUGUGAAAAUGAACUUACAAGAAAAAAAUAGAUUUCUUUUUCAUUUCACCACAGGUCUCAACAGGCCUCUUUUCCCAGCCUCUUAAAUUAGCAUUGGGGAUAUAUGAAAAUAUUUCCUUAUUCAAAGAAUCGUUCCUAAUCAGCUGAAGGACAAUGUCAGAAUCACUGCUCCAGAAUAUUGGCCAGAGUCUUUCACAGGUCUUCAAAAUCUGCAUCUAAUGAACGGUGUAACGUGGGAGUUUCAGGGACUACAACCAAAACCAUCAAUACAUAUUUUGGAGCCAGAAAUUGCCAGUGGAAUUGAAAAAUUCAUUGAAAACAUAUGACUACUCCAUAUAUGCAAACAUUAGAAUAGGUGAGUAUUUCUGAACAGAAUAAACAGAAAAAAAAAAAAGUGUGAUAAUAGCCUCUAUAAGUGGUUUUGCAUUUUCCAUUUUACAAAGUUCUUUCAUGUGCUUGUUGUUGUUCAUUGCUCUUUUUUACAAAGGCUAUUAUUGCAAUUUAAGGACCACUUUAGUGUUUUAUCUGGUAGCAUCAUCAUUCAGAAGUCUUCCUUAAAUCUAAGUACAUGACAAAGCCUUCCUAUAUAACAUAAAUUGAGGUGAAUGAAAUAUCUGGCUUUAUUAAUUUUAUUUCCAGUGUUCGAGACACUCAGUUAAGUUCAUGUAAGAGUUAAAAUAAUAUUACCAUUAUGAAAGUAUUCAUUGGCAUCACAACUCAGGAAAUAUAGACACAAAUCAAUAUUGUUCAGAUAAUCACAUACGCAUUCAGCAAAAUCAAAUUUACAAAUUGAGAAGUUUGGGUGAAAACACCUCCAAUUCUUGUGAACAUAGUUCUCAUGAAUUUUACAAUCCACUUGAAUGAAGGCAAUGCAUACACAGAUAAGUACAACGUAACAGACACUGUGGAAGUCCCUGCAAUGGAGGCAUCAACAAAGUAAGAUG
rnacentral:lncRNA from 1 species